CAGCAGCAGCCACGGUAAUACGAAGAGGGCUAGCGUUGCUCGGAAUUAUUGGGCGUAAAGGGCUCGCAGGCGGUUUCUUAAGUCUGAUGUGAAAGCCCCCGGCUCAACCGGGGAGGGUCAUUGGAAACUGGGAAACUUGAGUGCAGAAGAGGAGAGUGGAAUUCCACGUGUAGCGGUGAAAUGCGUAGAGAUGUGGAGGAACACCAGUGGCGAAGGCGACUCUCUGGUCUGUAACUGACGCUGAGGAGCGAAAGCGUGGGGAGCGAACAGGAUUAGAUACCCCUGUAGUCCCUGUCUCUUAUAC
rnacentral:rRNA from 1 species